ACCCGCUGUCUUUUGUCUCUGUUUUUUGAUCCACAGCCCCUUGCUCGGACUUGGUAAACGGGUAGUGGUAGCGCAGGCGCUACUGCAACAAAUGGAGGUUCUACCGGGAUCCCAGAAAGAAGGGAAGAGCUGAUGGACACCCGGGGAACCCUGGAUCCUGAUGGGAGGGAUCUGAUGAAGAUAUCUGGUUUAUGGCCGAUUCUUCCAUGGACCCUCAUUCUCAGCAUAAUGAUACAGAAUCCUUCAAUGAACUAAUAACUCAUCAUUUUGGCUAUACUGAAUGGCCAAGAAGCUCUCAUAAUCUACCUAUCUCUGUCCACACAGCACUGAAGUUACAGAUACAUGGCAUCACACUUAACAUAUAAAAGUUCCAGCUUCUGCAGCCAAAGAUGUAACGUAAAGCCAGAGGAGCUGCUGAUGUUGAAGGCAAGCAUCUAUUCAUUCAGACCUUCACAAUUACUUACCAAAUGUUCACUAUGUGUGUUACUUGAUGCAUCGAAUGUUGAAUAAAAUUGCUAAGUUCUCCAAUCAAAAAGACAUUAGGCUCUGCU